UAUUAUUGUGAUGUUUUGAACCAAUUUAGUUGAAUCAUGGUUGUUUUGCUAGGGAUCACGGAUGGUACCUCUGGCUUCCAUGUCAUAUGAUUAACGUGCAUAAUAAUUUAUUUUUGAUCUAUAAAUGCGUGAGACUCGUGGGAUGUUUUGAUUCUUUAGGCACAAUAGUUCAUUUAGCCACAAAAGGGAAAAGCAGAGCUUUGUUCUUUGUGUAGUUUAUAAAUAGACUACUACUGCUACACUAAGAGUAAAGACUAGCUACCACUACUAGAGGAACUAAUCUAAACUAACCACCUCCAUGUAUUUGAUGACAGGAUGUGUUGGGUCUUGUGAGAUCAAUGUAUGCAUUGAUCAGCUUGGAAGAGGAUCCAUCGAUGCUGAGAUACGGUUACCUCUCUCGGGAUAAUGUUGGAGAUGUGAGGAGAGAAGUUUCUAAGCUCUGUAAGGAGCUAAGACCUCACGCACUUGCACUCGUAACUUCAUUCGGGAUUCCAGACUCCUUCUUGAGUCCAAUUGCAUUCAACUGGGUCGAAGCCAACGCUUGGUCUUCAGUUUAGGUACUAGUUGUAAUCUCUUCCAUAAUUCCCACAAUCCCACAUCUCUUAAAAUCUAUGUUUCCACGAUAUCUACAGAAGUUGUUGUAAGCUUUUCAUAAUAAAAGGGAUAUGUAAUGUAUAUGUAUCCAAGGUUGAUUCAUUACUUAAACUGGUCCAAACAAAGAGUUUGGUGAUAGAUUUCAAACUCUAAUAAAUGAUUGUUGUGAUUCUUUAAUCUUUAUUGGUUUAAGUUUGUCGAUAUUGUUUUGGACUACUUAAUUUGUAAAUCAUUCAAGUUUCAUUAGACAUAUUUAUAUCUAAUUUGUGUAUUAUUAGGUUGCGAAAGUAAUUAAAGAAAGAAACACGAAUGACUUGCAUUAGGAGUAAAAGUAAGUUGAACUUUUGACAUUGCUAACUGCCAACGAUAAAAUGACUUCUCAAGUGAAAGGAGUCAAUGUUCGGUUAAUUUUUCACAACAAAUCAUUGGGUUUUUUUUCCAUAUAUUAUGAGUGAAGACGAAAGAGAGUACUGAACUUUGUAAUUAUAUAAAGGAAACGAGCAAAGCCAAAUAAAAAGGAAACAACGUGAUCCAAAAAAACAAAAAGGAAACUAACGAAUUUGCCAUUAAAAAAAAAAGAAUGAAACUGAAUUUGCCAUAAAUAAAAAAAGGAAACGACAUUAUUAUUUUUUUAUUUUGUCAAUCGGGCCUAAGUGGGCCAAAUCUUGUCUUUUCUACCUCUUCAUGUCCGUCGUGUCGCAAAAUACAUGACGCAUAUCGGCGGCUCUUUCCUCUGACGCUCAAUGUCAAAUAAGACAAAGAGCUGCAUAUACCUCUGUUUCGGGUUAAGGGAACAAAUUUCUUGAAGAAGAAGAGAAAAUUUCAAAAUUUGUUCUCUCCCUUUCUCUGGAACAUCGACGUUGAUGCUGUGUGAGUGAAACCCUAUUCCCUCUAGAAUGUCGGAAAAUCGUGCCCUCCGGGUCCGGCGAACCCAUGUUCUCGCCAAUCACCUCUGCCGUCUUCCUCGAACCUCUCCCUCACGCGCGAGGUAUGAUUGCACGGUACUAUCCAGACGGAGCUCAACGAAAGCUAUGGAUUCCAAGUCAAUGAGAUGAGGAAAUUGCUCGACGGAGACAGAUCCUGAGGCUCAGCUCAAGAAGUUUGCUUUGUACGAAGUUUGUGGGAUUUUAUGAUUACUACCUCUCCGCCAAACUCGCUCAAUGUCAAAUAAGAAGUUUGCUUUGUACGAAGUUUGUUGGAUUUUAUGAUUACUACCUAUUGAAAACUGUCAAUAGGAGAAAUUUUGGAAAUGCAUAUGGCAUGAUUUGAGUUCAGGGGUAAUGCUCUUAACUUCUUUGGGGCAUUAUGUUGUCCUAAAGAUUAUGUUGUCAAGGGACAAUGACUGAGUUGGGCCACGGAACUAAUGUAGGAAUAUUUCUUUCAGUGUCGUGAUGCUCAUAUGCUCUAGUUUGAUAUCAUGUUAUUGGUGGUCGUUGAUUUCAUUUGAUUUAAUGGAUUUUCAGGUACGAGGAAGUGAGACAGUGACUACUUAUGAUGCAAGAACUAGAGAGUUUGUGAAUCUGCUCAGAAGUAUUGGAUCGGUAAGGCGGCUAACUAAGUAGUCAUUAUUUUUAAUUCUGUCAAUUAGUUAAAUGAGAGGUUGUUUAUUCUUCUUGCUAGGAUUCAUUCACCUUAAGUUUUCGUAUCAUGUGAUUUACUUUUGGGAUAAAUUGAUUAUAGUCAGGGAAAUGUUGCAAAUGUUACCCUUUUCUUCAUGGGAGCUUCAAACACACAAUGUGUUUGAAAAUGAUUCUAUAAACCUGAUGUCAUGUGAGAUAUUUCGCUCUCUAUGUAGUUAUUCUGUAGACUAUACACUAAAAGAGAAGACUAGCAGAGGAACUAAACUAAUCUGACCAGCUUUAUGUAUUUGAUGACAGAAUGCAUUUAUCAGCUUGGAAGAAGAUCCAUCGUUGCUGAGAUACGGUACUUACCUCUCUCGGGAUAAUGUUGGAGACGUGAGGAGAGAAGUUUAUAAGCUAA
rnacentral:lncRNA from 1 species